rnacentral:rRNA from 1 species
UACAGAGGGUGCGAGCGUUAAUCGGAAUUACUGGGCGUAAAGCGUGCGUAGACGGCUAUCUAAGUCGGGUGUGAAAGCCCCGGGCUCAACCUGGGAAUUGCAUUCGAGACUGAAUAGCUAGGGUGCGGUAGAGGGAAGCGGAAUUUCCGGUGUAGCGGUGAAAUGCGCAGAUAUCGGGAAGAACACCCGUGGCGAAGGCGGUUCUCUGGGACGGUACUGACGCUGAGACGCGAAAGCGUGGGGAGCGAACAGG